GACGAACGCUGGCGGCGUGCUUAACACAUGCAAGUCGAACGGAAAGGCCCUGCUUUUGUGGGGUGCUCGAGUGGCGAACGGGUGAGUAACACGUGAGUAACCUGCCCUUGACUUUGGGAUAACUUCAGGAAACUGGGGCUAAUACCGGAUAGGAGCUCCUGCUGCAUGGUGGGGGUUGGAAAGUUUCGGCGGUUGGGGAUGGACUCGCGGCUUAUCAGCUGGUUGGUGGGGUAGUGGCUUACCAAGGCUUUGACGGGUAGCCGGCCUGAGAGGGUGACCGGCCACAUUGGGACUGAGGUGCGGCCCAGACGCCUACGGGAGGCAGCAGUGGGGAAUAUUGCACAAUGGGCGGAAGCCUGAUGCAGCAACGCCGCGUGCGGGAUGACGGCCUUCGGGUUGUAAACCGCUUUCGCCUGUGACGAAGCGUGAGUGACGGUAAUGGGUAAAGAAGCACCGGCUAACUACGUG
rnacentral:rRNA from 1 species